rnacentral:rRNA from 1 species
UACGUAGGCAGCAAGCGUUGUUCGGAGUUACUGGGCGUAAAGAGUGCGCAGGCGGUCCUGUAAGUUUGGUGUGAAAUCUCCCGGCUCAACUGGGAGGGUGCGCCGAAGACUGCAAGGCUUGAGUAUGGGAGAGGCAAGCGGAAUUCCUGGUGUAGCGGUGGAAUGCGCAGAUAUCAGGAGGAACACCAAUAGCGAAGGCAGCUCGCUGGGACGUUACUGACACUGAGGCGCGAAAGCGUGGGGAGCGAACAGG